AUGGGAUUCUCACUUGAAGAAGAAGAAAUUGAGGAACUGUGCAAACACCUGCCAAUUAAUGAUGAGAAAAGAGUUCAAAUGGAUUCACUUCUGAGUGAAGUAGAUGAAUUUUUAGGAAAAGAAAUUGACCAUGAGGACCUGGAAAACAUUCUUAAAAACAUAGGAUUAAGACAUCGCCUGAAGGAAAACAAUGUCUUAAUGAAAAGUUUGCCAAUUGAUUGUAAGCAUUUAAUUUAAUUAUUCACUUAUCUAAUAAAUGUUUAUUGGUUUUCA
rnacentral:lncRNA from 1 species